rnacentral:rRNA from 1 species
CUACGGGUGGCUGCAGUGAGGAAUAUUGCACAAUGGGGGGAACCCUGAUGCAGCAACGCCGCGUGGAGGAUGACGCAUUUCGGUGUGUAAACUCCUUUUAUCAGAGAAGAACAUGACGGUAUCUGAUGAAUAAGCUCCGGCUAACUCCGUGCCAGCAGCCGCGGUAAUACGGAGGGAGCAAGCGUUAUUCGGAAUCACUGGGCGUAAAGGACGCGUAGGCGGGACAGUAAGUCAGGUGUGAAAUCCAAUGGCUCAACCAUUGAACUGCACUUGAAACUGCUGACCUAGAGUACUGAAGGGGCAGAUGGAAUUAGUGGUGUAGGGGUAAAAUCCGUAGAUAUCACUAGGAAUACCGAAAGCGAAGGCGAUCUGCUGGGAAGUUACUGACGCUGAGGCGUGAAAGCGUGGGGAGCAAACAGGAUUAGAUACCCGAGUAGUC